rnacentral:lncRNA from 1 species
UGGUGUCGCGGGUGAAGACGGAGCAGGGCGAGCCCGACGGCGUGCAGUGCACCAUCGUGGUCAAGCGGCUGUGGGACGGCGGCUCCAAGGACGGCGGCGGCGGCGGCGGCAACGGCAGCAGGAAGAUGGCCAAGUUCUCGGCGCCCAAAAGCGGGAGGCAGCCCCAAGCGCCGCCGGCGUCGGGACCGGCACCCGGUACCGCCGACCAGACCAGUCCCGGCGGCACCUCCAGCGCCUACACCAGCGACAGCCCCGGCUCCUUCCACAACGAGGAGGAUGAGGAGGAGGACGGGGGCGAGGAAGGCUCCGACGAGCAGUACCGCCAGAUCUGCAACAUCAUCCGAGAAGGUGGAGGCGCUGCCGGACCAGCCCCCCGCGGAGUCGCGCAGCCGCGUGCGGGUGCGGCAGGACCUGGCCUCGCUGCCGGCCGAGCUCAUCAACCAGAUCGGGAACCGCUGCCACCCCAAGCUGUACGACGAGGGGGACCCGGCCGAGAAGCUGGAGCUGGUCAUCGGUACCGGGGGGCACGGGGACCGGAGGGGGUGUGGGAUGCGUUGGGAUGGGAUGUGGGUCAGAGUGGGUUGGGGAGGGGGACAUGGGGCGGGGGUCAGAAGGUGGAGGAGGGGACACGGGGAUGUGGGGGCAGGAGGUGCCUGAGGGGACAUGGGGAUGGCGACCCGGCCGAGAAGCUGGAGCUUGUCACCGGUACCCAGGGACAUGGGGACGUGGGGUGUGGGGACAUGGGGACAGGGGAUGUGGGUCAGGAGGGAGGUCAUGGGAGGGGGACAUGGGACAUGAGGAUCUGGGUCAGAACAGGACAUGGGGACGUGGGGACGUGGAUCAGAACAGGGCAGGGGGACACGGGAUACAGGUCAUAAGAGGACAAAGAGACAUGGGGCAUGAGGACAUAGGUCAGAACGGGACAGAGGGAUGUGGGAGCAUGGGGACAUGGGUCAGAACAGGAUGGGGGGGAUGUGAGAUAUGGGUCAGAAGAGGACAAGGGGACACGGGACAUGGGGACGUGGGUCAGAACAGGAUGGGGAUGCAAUAUGUGGGG